rnacentral:rRNA from 1 species
CACCGCGGUUAUACGAGGGGCCCAAGCUGACAGAAACCGGCGUAAAGAGUGGUUAGGUGGUAUUUAAACUAAAGCCAAACACUUUCCAAGCUGUUAUACGCAUCCGAGAGUAUGAAAAUCUCCUACGAAAGUGGCUUUAAUAUCCUGACUCCACGAAAGUUAUGGAA